rnacentral:tRNA from 1 species
GGCCCCAUCGUCCAGCGGAGAGGACACCGGAUUUUCGAUCCGACAACCGGGGUUCGAUUCCCCGUGGGGUCACCA